rnacentral:rRNA from 1 species
GACAGAGGCCCCAAGCGUUAGGCGGAAUCACUGGGCUUAAAGCGUGUGUAGGCGGACGCCUAAGUGUCUUGUGAAAUCCCACGGCUCACCCGUGGAACUGCUGGGCAUACUGGGCGUCUUGGGCCAACUAGGGGCAGCCGGAACAAGCGGUGGAGCGGUGAAAUGCGUAGAUAUCGUAAGGAAGACCAGUGGCGAAGGCGGGUCUCUGGACAGUUCCUGACGCUGAGGCACGAAGGCCAGGGGAGCAAACGGG